rnacentral:rRNA from 1 species
AUACGGAGGGUGCAAGCGUUAUCCGGAAUCAUUGGGUUUAAAGGGUCCGCAGGCGGAUUAAUAAGUCAGUGGUGAAAUCCUCUCGCUCAACGAGAGAACUGCCAUUGAAACUGUUAGUCUUGAAUUCGGUCGAAGUAGGCGGAAUGUGUCAUGUAGCGGUGAAAUGCAUAGAUAUGACACAGAACACCGAUAGCGAAGGCAGCUUACUAGACCUGGAUUGACGCUCAUGGACGAAAGCGUGGGGAGCGAACAGUAUUAGAAACCCCAGUAGUCC